UACGUAGGGGGCUAGCGUUGUCCGGAAUCAUUGGGCGUAAAGCGCGUGUAGGCGGUCCGGUAAGUCCGCUGUGAAAGUCGAGGGCUCAACCCUCGAAUGCCGGUGGAUACUGUCGGGCUUGAGUACGGGAGAGGCGACUGGAAUUCCUGGUGUAGCGGUGAAAUGCGCAGAUAUCAGGAGGAACACCGGUGGCGAAGGCGGGUCUCUGGGCCGAUACUGACGCUGAGGAGCGAAAGCGUGGGGAGCGAACAGG
rnacentral:rRNA from 1 species